UUGUUGGUAAGGUAAAAGCUUACCAAGGCUUCGAUCAGUAGCUGGUCUGAGAGGACGACAGCCACACUGGGACUGAGACACGGCCCAGACUCCUACGGGAGGCAGCAGUGGGGAAUUUUGGACAAUGGGGGCAACCCUGAUCCAGCCAUGCCGCGUGAGUGAAGAAGGCCUUCGGGUUGUAAAGCUCUUUCAGCCGGAACGAAACGGUUACGGUUAAUACCCGUGACUACUGACGGUACCGGAAGAAGAAGCACCGGCUAACUACGUGCCAGCAGCCGCGGUAAUACGUAGGGUGCGAGCGUUAAUCGGAAUUACUGGGCGUAAAGCGUGCGCAGGUGGUUUUGUAAGUCAGAUGUGAAAGCCCCGGGCUCAACCUGGGAACUGCGUUUGAAACUACAAGACUAGAGUGUGGCAGAGGGGGGUGGAAUUCCGCGUGUAGCAGUGAAAUGCGUAGAGAUGUGGAGGAACACCGAUGGCGAAGGCAGCCCCCUGGGUCAACACUGACGCUCAGGCACGAAAGCAUGGGGAGCAAACAGGAUUAGAUACCCUGGUAGUCCAUGCCCUAAACGAUGUCAACUAGUUGUCGGGCCUUUACGGGCUUGGUAACGUAGCUAACGCGUGAAGUUGACCGCCUGGGGAGUACGAUCGCAAGAUCAAAACUCAAAUGAAUUGACGGGGACCCGCACAAGCGGUGGAUUAUGUGGAUUAAUUCGAUGCAACGCGAAAAACCUUACCUACCCUUGACAUGUAUCGAAGCCCGCAGAAAAGCGGGGGUGCCCGAAAGGGAACGAUAACACAGGUGCUGCAUGGCUGUCGUCAGCUCGUGUCGUGAGAUGUUGGGUUAAGUCCCGCAACGAGCGCAACCCUUGUCAUUAAUUGCCAUCAUUUAGUUGGGCACUUUAAUGAGACUGCCGG
rnacentral:rRNA from 1 species